AGGGACCAGACACACAAGUGCCCCAAUACAGAGAUCCCUGGAUUUGCUUGGGGCUCAGGCGCCGUUUGGGAAGGAACUCAGUGCCACUUAGAGUCCGAACUUCUUAGAGCUUAGGCGGAGGUUUCUGGAAGAUGGUUGGCAAGUCGGAGAGCCAGGAAGCGAGGUGUCUGCAGUGGGAAGGGGAGCAGGUCUGCUUUCUUGCCUGGCUAAAGUGGGCAUAGAUAGAACUCGCAACCCCGGGAUAGAACUCGCAACCCCAAGAUCAAGAAGCUGGAUCAAGUCACUUCCAUGCAUUCACUCGCUCGCUCAUUUAACAGUAUUGACUGAGCACCAACCCUGUGCCAGGAACAGAACUGAAUAUCUGAUUGAAUGCAAAUAUCUGUUCAGUCUGGGUAUCAGGUGGGCAGCUACGUCCGGUACCAGGAACGCUGUUACGGCAUCUCUGACUAUGUUCCCUACGCUGUGUCUUUUAUUCCCGUCCAUUCCGUAGCUGGAAGCCUGGCUCUCCCACUUAAUUUUG